rnacentral:rRNA from 1 species
UACGUAGGGCGCAAGCGUUGUCCGGAAUUAUUGGGCGUAAAGAGCUCGUAGGCGGUUUGUCGCGUCUGCUGUGAAAACCUAAGGCUCAACCUUGGGCUUGCAGUGGGUACGGGCAGACUAGAGUGCGGUAGGGGUGACUGGAAUUCCUGGUGUAGCGGUGGAAUGCGCAGAUAUCAGGAGGAACACCGAUGGCGAAGGCAGGUCACUGGGCCGCAACUGACGCUGAGGAGCGGAAAAGCCAUGGGGGAGCGAACAGG